UGCAUGUCAGACAAUGCCUCAUAUCCUAUCAGAGGCCUUCCAUUUCCAUUUUGGGAGUUUAAAGAAUUUGGUAUCCCAGAUUAAUCUGCCUUUUGAGCAUGAAAACAGUGGGUAAUAUUUUCCAUUCCUUUCAUUGGUGAGCCAAAAACUCAAGGUGCAAGUGGAAUUCGAUCUUUAAGACUCUUUCUACCACACUUCGUGCAAGUCUUCCCUCUCCUGGCUCCAAGAGGUGUUGCCAAAGGAGAUUACCAUCUGAGUCAGUGGACUGGGAGAGACAGACCCACCCUCAGUCUGGGUGGGUACCAUCUAAUCAGCUACCCACACGGCUAGAAUAAAGCAGGCAGAAGAAAGUGAUCAACAGACUUGCUGAGUCUUCUGGCCUUCAUCUUUCUCCCGUGCUGGAUGCUUCCUGCCCCUGAACGUCAGACUCCAAGUUCUUCAGAUUAUGGACACUUGGACUUACACCAGUGGUUCACCAGGGGCUCUCGAGCCUUUGGCCACAGACUGAGGUUUGUACUGUUGGCUUCCCUACUUUUGAGGUACUAGGACUCAGACUGGCUUCCUUGCUCCUCAGCUUCCAGAUGGCCUAUUACGGGACUUCACCUUGUGAACCAUCCUAUUACAAAUCUGCCAGCCUACAGACUAGUAAAACGCGCUGACCCAAGAGAAAGCAAAAAGCGGCCCCUUUCCCCGGCUCCAGCGCUGCUCGGCCAGGCUUCACUUUUAAAGGCGAGCAUCAUUGGUUCAUGCGCCACAGGAAAUGGAGCCAUCACAGGACGGGCCAAAGACACCUGUCUUCUCAUCCCUCUUCUCACUUUUCACUUCAAAGGCACGCACCUCAUCAGGGAAGAAAAAGGAAAGCUGAGAGGAACUGAGACAGCAGUUUUAGGUGAUGGGUUAAUUAUGCACAGUUGUGCCUUCCUCUCUCCUUUCUCAAUCUUCGCCCCAAGUCCUGCCUCCAGGUUUAUGCUGCAGAGUGUCCGUGGAAGGGUGGCUCUUACAUGGUAGCUCUGAAAAGCUUGACAUUAUUUUACUAAGUGAAUGCAAGAAUUCUCAUGUGGGCAUCUCCACUCAUGGAUAGGAUUGCCAGAUUUAGCAAAUAAAAGUACAAUGAAAUAUCCAAUUACACUUGAAUUUCAGAUAAUCAACAAAUACUUCUUUUUCGUACAGUUAUGCCCUGUUUAACCUCUACUGUUCCACUAGGGAUAUACUUGUAUUGCGCACUUACCUGUUGUUUAUAUAAAAUUCAAAUUUAACCAGGCAUCCCACUCAUGGGGCCCCAGACCAAACGGAAGCCCCCU
rnacentral:lncRNA from 1 species